rnacentral:rRNA from 1 species
GCACAGCGGUGGAUGAUGUGGAUAAUUCGAUGCAACGCGAAAAACCUUACCUACCCUUGACAUGUCAGGAAUCCUGGAGAGAUCUGGGAGUGCUCGCAAGAGAACCUGAACACAGGUGCUGCAUGGCUGUCGUCAGCUCGUGUCGUGAGAUGUUGGGUUAAGUCCCGCAACGAGCGCAACCCUUGUCAUUAAUUGCCAUCAUUCAGUUGGGGCACUUUAAUGAGACUGCCGGUGACAAACCGGAGGAAGUGGGGAUGACGUCAAGUCCUCAUGGCCCUUAUGGGUAGGGCUUCACACGUCAUACAAUGGUCGGUUCAGAGGGUUGCCAACCCGCGAGGGGGAGCCAAUCUCAGAAAGCCGAUCGUAGUCCGGAUCGCAGUCUGCAACUCGACUGCGUGAAGUCGGAAUCGCUAGUAAUCGCGGAUCAGCAUGUCGCGGUGAAUACGUUCCCCGG